GUUCUCAUGCUCAGGUGGGCCUGAGAGAAGUGCAACCGAGGUGGCUGGAAGAGCAGCAUCAGCAGGGAGGUCUCUGGUGGGGUGGCGCUGGAUGUAUUCGACAGCUUCAUGGGCCUGAAGGACCAUCUAGAUGAUGGAACAGGCCACAUCCUUGACCUCAGACUGGAUCUGGACUACCUGCACGUAAAGGCUACUGCCACUGUCCGGCCACCCUCUGGAGCGGAUGUCCAUGCCAAUAUGGAGCCUGGCCCGUCGGAAGAGGCCGAGGGCAGGCUACCUGUCAGGACAAGUCUGGACAGCAGCAGCGGCAUUGGAUCCACAUCCGCCGAUUCCGAGGAGAGCACUGACAGCGAGGCUGAGCAGAUCAGCGUCCGACCUGGCUUCCCCGACCUCCCGCCCCGCUCUGCCCAUCCUCAACUCUGCCGUUCCCCCUGUCUGGACCUCGAGUCCACCUCACCUCCAGACGAUUCCGUCCCCGAAAACCAAGACCCCGCGGAAGCCCUCCGCACCUACCGGAACAAGAUGGAGUUUGCAUUGAAGCUUGGCUACCAGGAGGACCUCAUUCGACUGGUGCUUAGCAAACUGGGACCCGAGGCACUUAUUAACGAUAUUCUCGGCGAGCUUGUGAAGCUGGGGAGCAAGUCAGAUGGUGAGCAGGGAGGUGGUCAGGGAUCCUCUCAAUCCAGGUCUUCAUCCAUGGCGCCCUCCUCCUCCUCAUGCUCCUCCGCUGGAUCUACAACGUCUUCCUCAGGGUGUGGGUUCUCAGACUCCACAGAGUCCCGUCAGUCAGAUUCUCCCUCACAGAUGGACACUCUGGACGACAAGGACAAUCUGAGGCCCGUUGUGAUUGACGGCAGUAACGUCGCCAUGAGCCAUGGCAACAAGGAGGUCUUCUCAUGCCAAGGCAUGCAGCUUGCAGUUGAUUGGUUCCUGGAGCGAGGGCACCGUGACAUCACUGUGUUUGUACCUGCCUGGAGGAAGGAGCAGUCGCGCCCAGAUGCUCUUAUCUCAGACCAGGAUUUCCUACGGCGGCUGGAGAAGGACAAAAUCCUCGUGUUCACUCCGUCACGGCGGGUGCAGGGAAGGAGGGUGGUCUGCUACGAUGACCGUUUCAUCGUCAAGUUGGCCUACGAGUCUGACGGCAUCAUAGUCUCCAACGACAACUACCGGGACUUGGCCAAUGAGAAGCCAGAGUGGAAGAAGUUUAUCGACGAGCGAUUGCUAAUGUAUUCAUUCGUCAAUGACAAGUUCAUGCCUCCUGAUGAUCCUUUGGGUCGACACGGCCCCAGUUUGGAGAACUUUCUGCGGAAGCGACCAAUCAUCCCAGAACACAAGAAGCAGCCCUGCCCUUAUGGCAAGAAGUGUACCUACGGGCACAAGUGUAAAUUUUAUCAUCCUGAGCGUGGCACGCAGCCUCAGCGCUCGGUGGCAGACGAGCUCCGGGCCAGCGCCAAGAGUUGCUCUGCCAAGGCGCAAAUUGAGUCGGGCCUAGUGAAGAGCCACAGCAUGCCAGCCAGCCAGCGGCCCGCCGAGGCCAAGCGCACGCAGGCCAAGCGCCAGUCCGACCCCAGCGUCCGAGCCCUGUCUUACAGCGAUGUGGAGGACCGGCUGACCAGCCGCUCCCCAAAACUGGACCCGUCCCACAGUAAAGGGAGCAUGAUGCUACCACCUGCUCCCGGUGGGCCCCCUAUGUGUCACGGUCAUGGCCAGGACCUGACCCGAGAGUACCCCCACCUCCAUGCCUUGGGGAAGCCUCAGUCUGGCACUGCGCUGACAUCGCAUUACCCCACGUGCGAAUCCCCGGACCUGAGCUACUGCUCGCUGGUGCGGACCUACUCGGGCCUCAGGAUCUCAGUGCCCCCGCGCAGCCCCGAGCGCCGCAUGCUGCCGGACUCGCUGACGUCGGACUGCAGCAGCGAUGGCAGCGCCAGCUGCGGCAGCAGCACGGACUCCUACGGAGUGAUGGGCCCAGGAGGCGAGCGGUCGUGCAUGAGCUCACCCGACCUGCUGCUGGACGAUGGCAGCCUCCGGUGCACCCACCACCUCCUCAGUCAGCAGCAGCAGCAGCAGCACCACCACCAUCACCACCACCAUCGAGGCAGUACCCAGUACCCGCCCCCUCUCCCACCUCCUCAGACGCCCCCCCAGCACCACCUGCACCAGGGCCAUGUGCUUACGCCAGUCGCUGUGCCAGGCUACCACCACCACCACCACCAUCACCAGCCGCAGCAGCAAAGCCUAACACAACAUGGGUACAGCUUCAGCCAUGACGAGCCUUCGGACUCCCCCCUCUUCAGCAAUCACCCACGACCAUACCUGUCGCCACAGCUCCAGCACCAAACAGUGGGGGCUCGGUCCAGCUGUCCUGGGGACUGUCCGCCCUUACCGAGCAGCUCGCACCCCCAAAGCUCUCCCCUGGCCCGGGGACUGGCCUCCACACGGGCCGACAGCGUCUCUGACUCCCGACUGUACGAGAGCUCGCCUCAUUUGGCCCGCAAGGCCCUCUACAUGGGCCAGGAGCGUCUGGGUGGAUGGGACCCCUACUACCUUCAGCCGCAGCCCCCUCCUCCACAGCCCUGCUACGAGCCCUUCACCUUCCAGGGGGUCCUGGAGAGCCGUGAGCAGGCCUGGAGGGCCCCGUGGGGCCGUGGCACCAGCCAGCCACCCCCUCCUCACCCUAACCACGUCCCUCUGCCUCCCCCUCUGGGCUCCCAGUCCCCCGAGCCUCCUCCUGUCAGUCGCCACCAGGAGGUACGGCAGAAGGUGUUCAACAACCUGUGUAACAUCUUCCCCAUGGAGCUGGUGCGCCUGGUGAUGGGGCGCUACCCUCACGUGACCGACGCCCAGCAGCUUGCAGCGGCCAUUUUGGCCGAGAAGACUCAGACUGGUGCGUACUGAGUCAUGCCCAUCCCCCAUUUCCUCAUGUCUUGUGCCACAGGUUAAAGUGAUUGAAGGCACAGUGACUGAGUCCUUAUCCUUUUGGGUGGAUCUUGAAUUGCUGAUGUCCAAGGAAAAGGAACCUUUUGGGGUAUCCUGGGGUACUUUGGUUGUAUUAUGUUACUGCUUCAGCUCACCAAAAGAACUUCUCUGCAUUUUAAAUCAGUCAUUUGAAAUAAGGAGAAACAGUUGGAUAGGACACUUGACCAUUUUAUGCAGAGAGAGGGAAGUAUAGCGCUGUCAGCAUAUUUGUCUACCUGAAGUGUGAAUGAGAUCUGAAUGUGUACUUCUAUUUAUUUUGGGUUUGUUUUUUCAUAUAUAUAUUUAUAUAUAUUAUACAAAUGUUAUUUUUACUAUAAUUUUCAGGUGAGCAUCUAUUAUUCACAGAGCACUUUUUUGUUGCUUUUUAUCAGAUUUGCGAAUAAUUUGGUAACUCGUGGCAAUCAAAAUUGAGGAUGUCAGAGGCCAGGGUACGUGUAGGUUUAGAUAAUUUAUUAUUCUGAGGUACUAGAAACCAAAAGAGAAGAGCGUUAAAAGGACAGAAAGCCUAACAUUAACCUCUACACACACACACACACACACACUCACAUGCAUGCAGACACAUACAUAUACAUGCAUAUAUACAGUGCCAUCUAUGACCAUCACAGGUCAUUUUUGAAGUCAGGAGAUGAUUAUUUAUUUAUUUUACCUUUUAAAGACAUUUAAUGUCUUGAUUAGCUACCAUUGCUCGUGAGUCAAAGUUGACAGAAAACCGUUCAGUAACCAUUGAUACUUAAAAAUGGAGCUGUAUUAGGUGCAGAUGUUCAGGUUAAUAGUUAAUUGUGGCACACCACAUUUGAACCUAAAUUCGUUUGGCCUCGUUUCCUCUUUGGUGAUGUAAUGCUUACCUUCACUUGAUUUCUUUCUUGUGUUUUAUUUUUAAUCAUUCUCUCCAAAAUCAUGUGCCAUUCGAAUCACAAAAGAAUGGUUCUUGGGGAUAUGCAGAAAUUUAUAUUAAUUUAUUUAGAAUUGUUAUUCUAUGUUUUGUUUAAGUUUUUUUUUUUUCCCCCAUGUUUUUUUCUUCUUCAGAGAAUCAUUUUACUAUUUUGAGUGUUUGCGUGAGAGAAUAUAUACGUGUGUGUGUGUGUGUGUGUCAGGGAUGGGGACUCUUUGUUGACCUUCAGUAGAUCUGUCAGUGUUACCAAGAGAGAACUUCUCCUUUUAGCCACAGGUGUAGUAUUAGAGACGGACAUUUCUUGACGUCUAUGUACCUUAGUUAUAGUAAGGGACGUCUCUGGCUCCUUGUCCUGCAUUUGUACUCCUGUUGUCAGGAACGGAAGCAAAUCACUGUUGCUGCUACUGAUUAAACUAAGACCCGGGUCUUAAUAUGGGGACAGUCGUCCUUGUCGGAUUUCGGGCCUAGUGUAUGAAGUCUAUCAGAACUGCAGGUGACGACAGGAAAAUUGUGAGCCUUGGCUGUCAGAGAAUACCUGUCCUUGUUGAUACAAAUUGUAUCUUAUUAACUUAAAUCAGAGUUGUUUAUGAAACAUAAUUUAUGAAAAGGUAUACACAUGUGUUAUGUACAGUUGGUAGUACAUGAGUAAUUUAUGAACUAUUUUUGGCAACAUUUUAUCACCAUUACCAGAAUGUGAAGGUUUUUUUUUUUUUAUGAACAAAUGCAUAAAAUGCAUCUGUUUAGAGCUAGGAGGUACAGGGAUUGUGGUUGUAGUUUAUUUAUUGUAUUGGAAACUAUACAUUCUUGAACCAUUUGACAUACACAAUAAUUUGUUAUGGCUCAAAAAAAAGAAAAAGAAAUUGCAAAAUUUUCCUACGUAGCAGAAACUAUUAAAUUGAACUAGACAGGUGAUUGGGUUACAUACCCAGUGACCCAUUACUCAGCCAAAAGGGUUGUGAAAAGCAGAGCAUCUGCUACAAGGAACCCUGUAUACGGAUAAAAUGUCAAGAUGAGGUAGGAGUCACUGGUCAACCUGAACCCCCCAACCAGGACAUCACCAGGCCUGGUGAUGCAAACUCUUUUAAUGAUUAUUAUGUCAAAGGAAGACUCCUUACCAUAUUCCAGAGUGUGAGGGAAAAGGGGAGAGAGAGAGAGAUGAAAGAGAAGAGGGUAAAAUGCUGCCUGAAAUAAGUAUUCCAUAAGAGCACCUUUGUUUUGAAAAGAGCCUUCCCUCUGGCCAGUCAGCACCAUGUGUUGAGUGGGGCGGAGGUUGGGCAUAGAGUAAAUGCCUCUGACUGGCAUUGUCCUUAAGACACAUCUGAUGAUCUGAACCAUGUUCAGCAAACAAGUUGUUUGGGUUUGUUGUUUGUCCGUUUUUCUUCCAUAUAUAAACAAUAUAUCCUCACCUCACGUGCUAUUUAUUGUGUGAAGUUGCCUGUGAGCUUAUUUAGCCUAAAUGGAGCUUUGGUGGACUCUUUGCUAUUUUUGUUUGACCACUGGCUCUUUCAAGUCUUGUUUUGAAAUAUGGUCCACUGCAAGUAGAUCUUUGUGUUAGUUCAGUAUUACACCAAGUGUUUCAGUGUGGUACUGCACCUGUAACGGUUUAGGCGCCUUUUCCUCUUCAACGGUACUUUACCAGCUCAAUUGUGUCUGCCGAACUUUCCAAUGUUGUGUUUUUUUUUUUUUAUAUACACUUGCUAUGGUGUUGUGUUCAUUCCAGUGCUGGUUCGAUUCCUGUUUAUGAUGACCAAAGUAACUGGUGUGAUUGCGUUGGCAUUUGGGUGGGCCAUGCUUUCUUAAGCAUUAGUCAGUCAUAGUUAGUCAUUCUGAGUAUUACAAAUUAAUUAUGUACACAAAAAAAAGAAAAAAAAAGCAAUGAUGGUGUUAAAUGAUGCUCUGUCUAAAGUUUCCAAAUGUGUAUUUUUAUUCAAAUAAAAUAUUUACCCCAAAUUGACA
rnacentral:lncRNA from 1 species